rnacentral:rRNA from 1 species
AUUGAACGCUGGCGGCAUGCUUUACACAUGCAAGUCGAACGGUAACAGGUUAAGCUGACGAGUGGCGAACGGGUGAGUAAUGCAUCGGAACGUGCCCGAUCGUGGGGGAUAACGCAGCGAAAGCUGCGCUAAUACCGCAUACGAUCUGAGGAUGAAAGCGGGGGACCGUAAGGCCUCGCGCCAUCGGAGCGGCCCAUGUCAGAUUAGGUAGUUGGUGGGGUAAAGGCCCACCAAGCCGACGAUCUGUAGCUGGUCUGAGAGGACGACCAGCCACACUGGGACUGAGACACGGCCCAGACUCCUACGGGAGGCAGCAGUGGGGAAUUUUGGACAAUGGGCGAAAGCCUGAUCCAGCAAUGCCGCGUGCAGGAAGAAGGCCUUCGGGUUGUAAACUGCUUUUGUACGGAGCGAAAAGGUCCUUUCUAAUACAAGGGGCUCAUGACGGUACCGUAAGAAUAAGCACCGGCUAACUACGUGCCAGCCGCCGCCGUAA